AUUGAACGCUGGCGGCAUGCCUUACACAUGCAAGUCGAACGGCAGCACGGGAGCAAUCCUGGUGGCGAGUGGCGAACGGGUGAGUAAUAUAUCGGAACGUGCCCAGUAGUGGGGGAUAGCCCGGCGAAAGCCGGAUUAAUACCGCAUACGACCUACGGGUGAAAGCGGGGGAUCGCAAGACCUCGCGCUAUUGGAGCGGCCGAUAUCAGAUUAGCUAGUUGGUGGGGUAAAGGCCUACCAAGGCGACUAUCUGUAGCUGGUCUGAGAGGACGACCAGCCACACUGGGACUGAGACACGGCCCAGACUCCUACGGGAGGCAGCAGUGGGGAAUUUUGGACAAUGGGCGCAAGCCUGAUCCAGCCAUGCCGCGUGUGGGAAGAAGGCCUUCGGGUUGUAAACCACUUUUGUCAGGGAAGAAACGGCUCUUACUAAUAUUAGGAGCUAAUGACGGUACCUGAAGAAUAAGCACCGGCUAACUACGUGCCAGCCGCCGCCGUAA
rnacentral:rRNA from 1 species